rnacentral:rRNA from 1 species
GACGAACCGUGCGAACGUUGUUCGGAAUCACUGGGCUUAAAGGGCGCGUAGGCGGCUUGUCAAGUCGGGGGUGAAAUCCAGCAGCUUAACUGUUGAAGUGCCUUCGAUACUGACGAGCUCGAGGAAGGUAGGGGUGCGCGGAACUUCUGGUGGAGCGGUGAAAUGCGUUGAUAUCAGAAGGAACGCCGGUGGCGAAAGCGGCGCACUGGACCUUUUCUGACGCUGAGGCGCGAAAGCUAGGGGAGCAAACGGG